rnacentral:rRNA from 1 species
GGGUAAUUCCUGCCCAGUGAUAUUCUUCAACGGCCGCGGUAUCCUAACCGUGCAAAGGUAGCAUAAUCACUUGCCCAUUAAUUGUGGGCUAGAAUGAACGGAAUAACGAAAUAGAAACUGUCUCUACUAUAUGCAUAAAAAUUAUAAUUUAACUGAAGAUAGUUAAAUAAAAUCGAAGGACAAGAAGACCCUAUAGAGCUUGAUUCUAACCUAUAUCACUUAUUCGAUAGAAUUUGGUUGGGGCGACCCAGGAAUAUUAAUCAUCCUUCCUAAAAUAGAUAUAUAAAUCCCUCAAAUGACCCUUAAAAGAUCAAUAGAAAGUUACCUUAGGGAUAACAGGCUAAUCCUAUUUAAGAGUCCAUAUCAAAAAUAGGGCUUGGCACCUCCAUGUUUGGCUUAGGGUWUCUCUGAAGGCGCCAAAGUCUCAUAAAGAUGGUUUGUUCAACCAAUAAUCC